rnacentral:rRNA from 1 species
AGAUACCCUAUUAUACUGAUAAAUAAAUAAAAAUACCAGAUUAUUAAUAGAUAUAUUCUUGAAAUUUAAAGAAUUUGGCGGUGAUUUAGUCUAAUCAGAGGAACCUGUUUUUUAAUCGAUAAACCACGUAAAAUCUUGCUUACUUUAUAAGUUAAGUUUGUAUACCGUCAUUAACAGAUAAUUUUUAGAGAAAGAAAUUAUUAAGGACAAAAUGUAUUUAAUUGAUUAAAUUAGAUCAAGGUGCAGCUCAUGAGUAAGUUAAAAUGGGUUACAAUAAAUUUUAUUUAUUAUGAAUAUUUAGUGGAAGGCAUUAAUUGGAAGGAGGAUUUGAUUGUAAUGUAAGUUUAAUAUGCUUAGGUGACAUGAGCUCUAAAUCAUGUACAUAUCGCCCGUCACUCUCAAAA